rnacentral:rRNA from 1 species
UAGGGAAUUUUCGGCAAUGGGGGAAACCCUGACCGAGCAACGCCGCGUGAGUGAUGACGGCCUUCGGGUUGUAAAGCUCUGUUGUAAGGGAAGAACGGUAGAUAGAGAAUAUCUAAGUGACGGUACCUUACCAGAAAGCCACGGCCAACUACGUGCCAGCAGCCGCGGUAAUACGUAGGUGGCGAGCGUUAUCCGGAAUUAUUGGGCGUAAAGGGUGCGUAGGCGGCCUGUUAAGUAAGUGGUUAAAUUGUUGGGCUCAACCCAAUCCAGCCACUUAAACUGGCAGGCUAGAGUAUUGGAGAGGCAAGUGGAAUUCCAUGUGUAGCGGUAAAAUGCGUAGAUAUAUGGAGGAACACCAGUGGCGAAGGCGGCUUGCUAGCCAAAGACUGACGCUCAUGCACGAAAGCGUGGGGAGCAAAUAGGAUUAGAUACCCUAGUAGUCCACGCCGUAAACGAUGAAUACUAAGUAUUGGGGAAACUCAGUGCUGCAGCUAACGCAAUAAGUAUUCCGCCUGUGGAGUAUGCACGCAAGUGUG